GGCGCAGCCUGAUGCAGCCAUGCCGCGUGUAUGAAGAAGGCCUUCGGGUUGUAAAGUACUUUCAGCGGGGAGGAAGGGAGUAAAGUUAAUACCUUUGCUCAUUGACGUUACCCGCAGAAGAAGCACCGGCUAACUCCGUGCCAGCAGCCGCGGUAAUACGGAGGGUGCAAGCGUUAAUCGGAAUUACUGGGCGUAAAGCGCACGCAGGCGGUUUGUUAAGUCAGAUGUGAAAUCCCCGGGCUCAACCUGGGAACUGCAUCUGAUACUGGCAAGCUUGAGUCUCGUAGAGGGGGGUAGAAUUCCAGGUGUAGCGGUGAAAUGCGUAGAGAUCUGGAGGAAUACCGG
rnacentral:rRNA from 1 species